ensembl:lncRNA
GUUCUCCAAAGGGGAAAAAAUGAGGUUGAUGAGAAAGGCGGUUACUGGUUGAUAAGGAGGCAUUGAGAACUGCCUGCCUGCCACGUUUGAUUUUGAAAUCUCAGGCUCUUCGAAGCUUCUAUAAGGGGACAAGUAGUCACAAUGCUAUAGCUUGUAGCGGAUUGCAAAGAUGCUUGUAAAACACUCAAAGCCUAUUAAAAAUUCCCAGCAGAUCUCUUCUCCCAGAUCCUUCGCCACUCCCCACCAAUGAGCCGGUAUACAUUCAAGGGAAACAAAGAAGCAAUUCUAAAGCACAAAGGAGCUGCCCAACUAUUCCAGGAGUUUCCCCAGGCAGGGGAAAUGUGCGUCCUGACAUGCUUGGCUGGAACUGAUUGGGAACCAGACUGUGUUCACUGAGCAAGUUGAGAAAGAUUUGCCUCAAGCUUCGGCACAUUAUGAUGUCAUCUUUUGGCAUUUUAAAUAUUCAAGCAGAUUCUUUACCUGCUGAGCCACUGGGGAAACCCAAAGCUCUUAAGGAGCCGGGUCUUAUCUAACCCAUUUGAGAAAAACAGUUCUGGUCUGACGGCAAGAAAGAACUGAAGUGGAAGACUGCACACUGGGUUCUGGGUCACUGCCUCGUGUGACCAGAAACGACCCAGGGACACGUUCCAGCCUCAUUUCCUCGCCGGGACAUUCAUGUCUGACUGACAGAAGCAGGCCAGCAGUUACUUAGAUCUGCUGGAAAGGAGAUGAAAAAAUGAAACAUACUGCGGCUAACAUUCCAGAGUGCCUGCUGACAGCCAAAGACCAUUAACUUGCAGAAACAGCCAAGCAGAGAAAGCUGUAAGAAAGUGGAUCCUGGGCUGUCAAGGGCUGGAUGAAGCUUGUGACCGGUGUCAAGGAGAUGGGAUGCCAAGCCCAUGGUCAGGAAACCGUGGUUCUAUGAACCAAACUUCACAACUGCAGACAGCUGCCAAGGCCAGUGUUCAAGCACAGAC